UCUGCUCAGGACUGCUCAAUAUCCAGUGCUAAGCACCUUUGACCUAAUCAGAAGCUCUAAAUACGACUACAUAUUUUAAAAUAACAAAGCCAAACAACAUACAUACCAGGUGGAGCCUGCUGAACACGAGAUAGAUUUGCCAGAAUAAACUCAGGGAAGAUUCAAGGGGUGCUCUUCGGACUUAGCAGUAUGUGCAAUUCUUUGUAGUUACAUAGCUUCAUAGUAUUUGAGAGAUUGCCAGUGAAUUUAUCCUCACAGCACCCCAGGAUGUGCAAAGUGCUACAGGCCUCCGGGGGAGACUGGGGAGAGGGAGGAGGUUAAACAACCUGGCCAAAGGAGCUGCAGGGUUAUGCAGCCCAGAAGCACAUGCUGCCCACGCAUUUCUGCAUUCUUGGUAGCGCUGCACCUUAGCAUCCGGACUCACAGGCCUUUCGUAACUCGCCUCCAUCACAGAUAAACUCAACGCACCUGUGGACAUCUACAAUGUGGGACCUGAGGCAUUUUGGCAAGCCCAGACAGAAAAAACUAGGCACCUCUGUACUAUGAGGUGCCACAGCAGUUAAAAUUCUGUGUGUCACUCUGAGGGUUGUGGACACCUAAAAUCUGCCUCAACUGGAACUUCAGCAAAAGAGGUGCCGACUGAGAAGUUUACCACUCUUUCUGAAGUGGUACUCUUUUAUGUUUAAAAAGUCACUAGAAAAGCCACUGGAACCCACUGGUGCUCUUUUCCAGCAAUCCAACACACACAGGGGGCUCCCCCAUAGCCCAGACGGCCUCCGAAGCAGGCAAAUAGCACAUUGAGCACCUGGGCUAUGGAGUUGAAAGAGACCUCAAGAUGAAUGAAAAAUGGCUCCAUCCCAUCAUGAGGAAACCUUCUAGGCUGAGUGCCAUAGAGGCUAUGUGCAGUGUUAGCGUGAGUCAGGAGAUGGCGAUGUUGGAGAUGGUCUUAAGGCUCCUCACCUGGUUAUGUAACAGAAGUCUCGAAAAAGCAAAGGAUACUUUUCCUUCAGCACAAUGGAUCUGGCAGGACAUCAUUAACCUGGACAGGAGUGUCAAGCCAACUUGUACCACUGCAAAGCAAAUUCACAGUCAACACAUUCUGCAAAGCUGACUAGAGCAAUUCUGCACAGCUACACUGAUCUGAUAGUGGUAGCCCACUUAAUCUUUUUCGAUAGCUGCCCACAAAUAUCAACAGAAAAGGAUAGAGGUCAGUUUGGAUGUACAGGGAGAAAGAGAGCUCAAAAGCAAUCUGUGGCUGUUGAAAGAAGUUGUUCUUUGGUUACUUGAAACAAAUAUUUAAACCUCUGGAUUACAGAAUUUACAAGGUUGAAUAAGCAUAUACAGCAGCUUCACCAAAGCCAGAUUUUUCCUUCCUCUCAUUUAAUACUCAAUAAAAACG